rnacentral:rRNA from 1 species
GGACUACACGGGUUUCUAAUCCCGUUCGCUCCCCUAGCUUUCGCACCUCAGCGUCAGAUACGAGCCAGGACCUUGCCUUCGCCAGUGGUGUUCUUCCGGAUCUCUACGCAUUUCACCGCUCCACCCGGAGUUCCAGGUCCCUCUCUCGCUCUCUUAGUCGUGCCGUCUUUGCGACCCUUGGGCAGUUAAGCCGCCCACUGUCCCCGCAAACUGACACAACCGCCUGCGUGCCCUUUACGGCCAGUAACUCCGGACAACGCUCGCCCCCUACGUAUUACCGCGGCGGCUGGCAC